rnacentral:rRNA from 1 species
UACGUAGGGUGCAAGCGUUGUCCGGAAUUAUUGGGCGUAAAGAGCUCGUAGGCGGUUCGUCGCGUCGGCUGUGAAAACCUGAGGCUCAACCUCAGGCCUGCAGUCGAUACGGGCGGACUUGAGUACUGCAGGGGAGACUGGAAUUCCUGGUGUAGCGGUGAAAUGCGCAGAUAUCAGGAGGAAUACCCAUAGCGAAGGCAGCUCGCUGGGACGUUACUGACGCUGAGGCGCGAAAGCGUGGGGAGCGAACAGG